UAAGUCUUAUAAACAUCAUGAAACAAAUUUAGGUUAUACUCGCGAACAUGCUGAUAAACCUCGCCUAACUGUCAUAUAUAAAACUUUAAAAAUUAUGGUAUUAAUGAAAAAGAAAUUGAUCAAUGUUAAAUUAGUAAAGAUGAUUUCUUUGUGAUAUAUAAACAAUCUUCCUUUUAGCCAUGAUGUCUUUGACAUUUAAAAAUUAUAAAGUUUAUUUCCAAAACGACGACUCCACGCUCACCGCCAUGAUGAAGAGAAAAGAACGGAACUACGCAUGCGCACAAAUCACGAUGCAUUCUGGCAUUUUUUCAAAACCAGUGGAAAGAGAUACACAAGAUAUAUAUAUAUAUAUAUAUAUAUAUAUAUAUAUACACAAAUAUAGAUACAAGAUAUUUAAGUGUGUUAUAUAUGUAUGUAUAUACAAUAUAUAUGCAUGGAAAGUAUUCAAGACUCUGGAGGUAUGAUGUCGUACAAACAGGUCUGGACGCUCCUAUACUGAAAGUACUGACGAAACCAUAAA
rnacentral:misc_RNA from 1 species